rnacentral:rRNA from 1 species
CUCAAAUGGUGGGGAUCAGCUCAUAGCGUAUAUUAAGUUGUUGUGGUUAAAAAGCUCGUAGUUGAACCUUGGGCCUGGCUGGCCGGUCCGCCUCACCGCGUGCACUGGUCCGGCCGGGCCUUUCCCUCUGUGGAACCCCAUGCCCUUCACUGGGCGUGGCGGGGAAACAGGACUUUUACUUUGAAAAAAUUAGAGUGUUUAAAGCAGGC